rnacentral:rRNA from 1 species
GACGUAGGGCGCGAGCGUUGUCCGGAUUUAUUGGGCGUAAAGAGCUCGUAGGCGGUUUGUCGCGUCGUCUGUGAAAUCCCACGGCUCAACUGUGGGCUUGCAGGCGAUACGGGCAGGCUAGAGUUCGGUAGGGGAGACUGGAAUUCCUGGUGUAGCGGUGAAAUGCGCAGAUAUCAGGAGGAACACCGGUGGCGAAGGCGGGUCUCUGGGCCGUAACUGACGCUGGAGGAGCGAAAGCAUGGGGAGCGAACAGG